rnacentral:rRNA from 1 species
UACGUAGGGAGCAAGCGUUGUUCGGAUUUACUGGGCGUAAAGGGCGCGUAGGCGGCAAUUCAAGUCAGCUGUGAAAUCUCCGGGCUUAACUCGGAACGGUCAGCUGAUACUGCUUUGCUAGAGUGCGGAAGGGGCAAUCGGAAUUCUCGGUGUAGCGGUGAAAUGCGUAGAUAUCGAGAGGAACACCUGAGGUGAAGACGGGUUGCUGGGCCGACACUGACGCUGACAGCGCGAAAGCCAGGGGAGCAAACAGG